rnacentral:rRNA from 1 species
UACAGAGGUCCCAAGCGUUGUUCGGAUUCAUUGGGCGUAAAGGGUGCGUAGGCGGCGCGGUAAGUCGGGUGUGAAAUCUCGGAGCUUAACUCCGAAACUGCAUUCGAUACUGCCGUGCUUGAGGACUGGAGAGGAGACUGGAAUUUACGGUGUAGCAGUGAAAUGCGUAGAUAUCGUAAGGAAGACCAGUGGCGAAGGCGAGUCUCUGGACAGUUACUGACGCUGAGGCACGAAGGCCAGGGGAGCAAACGGG